rnacentral:rRNA from 1 species
AUCGCCUACGGGGCGCAGCAGUCGGGAAUAUUGCGCAAUGGAGGAAACUCUGACGCAGUGACGCCGCGUGAAGGAUGACGGCCCUAUGGGUUGUAACCUUCUUUUGUCAGGGAGCAAUUGGGUCCACGUGUGGGCUUAGCGAGAGUACCUGAAGAAAAAGCAUCGGCUAACUCCGUGCCAGCAGCCGCGGUAAUACGGAGGAUGCGAGCGUUAUCCGGAUUUAUUGGGUUUAAAGGGUGCGUAGGCGGAAUAUCAAGUCAGCGGUAAAAAUUCGGGGCUCAACCCCGUCGUGCCGUUGAAACUGA